rnacentral:tRNA from 1 species
CCCCCGGUAGCUCAGCGGUCAGAGCGGCCGGCUGUAGACCGGCAGGCCCCGGGUUCGAAGCCGUGGCUAUGGCC